CCUCAGACUACUCUUGAGUUGGUUCUGGACAAGGAAUUUGAGCUUUCUCACAGCUCUAAAACAUCCAGUGUCCAUUUCUGUGGAUACAAAGCUUAUUACCCUGACAAUGAAUAAUAUCCUUGAUCUUGGUUAUUAUAGCCAAUUUUCUUUUCUGCUCUGUUAUCUAAUUGUUUUCUUGUGAACUGAAAUUUAUCAUCCAUUUGCCAACUUAUUGGUGUAAAUACUAAUGAUAGCUCUAUGCGUAUGUUUACAUCAUUUUACAGUGUUUGUUUUAACAUGAAAUUUAGUUUAGUUUUUUGUAUCCCUAUUUUUACAGCUCUAUUAUCUAAGUGUUGUCUUGAUGUUGUAAUAUCUUAAACUUUGAGUUGUCCAUGGCUUCAUCCUAAUUUUUCCUUAACCAUUGGUUUGCUUCUGCCUGCACUAGUGAUGAAGAUGACUAUUCUGGUGAGGCUCUGAAGUUUCUUAUACAAUUGUUUUUAGGUUAGAUCAGAUUUUAUUUGUGUUGUAUGCUCAAACCUUGUUGGAUUGUCUUUGUCUUGAGCAGAUAGCGAUGAGGAGGAAAUUCCUUUGGCUCAACCCAUAGAGAAUGGUAUGUGUUUCCUCUUGGUCUGAAUUUUUUGGUAGUUAGGUCUUUGAUUUUGGCAACAACACACCAAAGGAUAAUUGGCUUAUUUUUAGGGAAACCAGAAAUAAAGGUUGAGAAUCAGAAAGUUUCUGAAGCUAAGAAAGCACCUGCUAAGAGUGGUGUACCUGCCAAGCCUGAACCACCUGCUAAGAGUGGUACAUCUGCAAAACAAGUGAAGGUUGUUGAUCCAAAGGAGGAAAAAGAUGAUGAUUCUGAUGAUGAAUCAGAUGAUGAACUUGAUAGCUCUGAUG
rnacentral:lncRNA from 1 species